UCGAGCGGUAGCACAGAGAGCUGCUUCUCGGGUGACGAGCGGCGGACGGGUGAGUAAUGUCUGGGAAACUGCCUGAUGGAGGGGGAUAACUACUGGAAACGGUAGCUAAUACCGCAUAACGUCGCAAGACCAAAGUGGGGGACCUUCGGGCCUCAUGCCAUCAGAUGUGCCCAGAUGGGAUUAGCUGGUAGGUGGGGUAACGGCUCACCUAGGCGACGAUCCCUAGCUGGUCUGAGAGGAUGACCAGCCACACUGGAACUGAGACACGGUCCAGACUCCUACGGGAGGCAGCAGUGGGGAAUAUUGCACAAUGGGCGCAAGCCUGAUGCAGCCAUGCCGCGUGUAUGAAGAAGGCCUUCGGGUUGUAAAGCACUUUCAGCGGGGAGGAAGGCGAUAAGGUUAAUAACCUUGUCGAUUGACGUUACCCGCAGAAGAAGCACCGGCUAACUCCGUG
rnacentral:rRNA from 1 species